AGAUUGAACGCUGGCGGCAUGCCUUACACAUGCAAGUCGAACGGCAGCACGGGAGCAAUCCUGGUGGCGAGUGGCGAACGGGUGAGUAAUACAUCGGAACGUGCCCAAUCGUGGGGGAUAACGCAGCGAAAGCUGUGCUAAUACCGCAUAAGAUCUACGGAUGAAAGCAGGGGAUCGCAAGACCUUGCGCGAAUGGAGCGGCCGAUGGCAGAUUAGGUAGUUGGUGAGGUAAAGGCUCACCAAGCCUUCGAUCUGUAGCUGGUCUGAGAGGACGACCAGCCACACUGGGACUGAGACACGGCCCAGACUCCUACGGGAGGCAGCAGUGGGAUUUGAC
rnacentral:rRNA from 1 species